rnacentral:rRNA from 1 species
CAGCAGCCGCGGUAAUACGUAGGUGGCAAGCGUUGUCCGGAUUUAUUGGGCGUAAAGCGAGCGCAGGCGGUUUCUUAAGUCUGAUGUGAAAGCCCCCGGCUCAACCGGGGAGGGUCAUUAGAAACUGGGAAACUUGAGUGCAGAAGAGGAGAGUGGAAUUCCAUGUGUAGCGGUGAAAUGCGUAGAUAUAUGGAGGAACACCAGUGGCGAAGGCGGCUCUCUGGUCUGUAACUGACGCUGAGGCUCGAAAGCGUGGGGAGCAAACAGGAUUAGAUACCCCCGUAGUCCCUGUCUCUUAUAC